UACCCAUCAUCUCAGUACAGGAAAGAUGGAGCCAGGAAGAUCAUGAUUGCAAGGCCAACCUGAGCUACAGAGUGAGACCACCAGAAAGAGGAAGAAACGUCCCGUUGGUAGGACUUGAGGAGCCACGGUUUCCCUUUCCCUCCUGUUCCGGGUUUGUGCCUGGAGAGGUCAAGGAGCUUGCCUGAGGUCACACAGAAUUCUACACCUGGCAAGAUCCAGCCGUGUUCAUGCAUGUGCAAGUGUGUACCCGUGCAGGUUAGAAGCGGACAUCAUCAGGCGUCUUCCUCAUUGACUCUCUGCCUCAUUUAGGAAUGGCAUGUUUCUUCAUUAACCAAGACAUCACUGACAUGUUCUUCCCUCUACCGUCCCACAGGGAGCCUGGUAAUUCCCACAGACUUCAGGCCCCGCCCCAGAACAAUGAGGUCUCUGGGCCCCCAGCAGAUAGGAAACACAUGGCCACACAGUCUGUUAGAUUGUCAGGAUCAAAGCAGAACAUCUGGUUCUGACCCCCAGAGGGGCCCCAGCCGGAGCGCCAGCUCCUGUACCACAGUGGAAGGUCAUUUUUUCCAGCCGUUUCGUGGUUCUCCAUCAGGAAGGGAGGGGGGCUGUGAUUGCCCCCCACAGAACAUCUGUCAAUGUCAGGAGAUAUUUUCGGGUUUUCCAGCUGAAAGGAAGGAGGAACUGCUGACAUCUGUGAGGUGGGGGCCCCCCCCCCCGGGGCUAGCGCUGAGCCAGCUGCGGUUGCUCAUGUCAAACAGCAGCUCUGCCCAAACUGAUCUGGGGAAACUGAGGGGGUCCCUCCUGGGGUUCCUAGCUUCAUUAAUAAACGGAUUUAAGAAUGAACUCAAUUGGAGACACAAGGACAAUUUUAUUAGAGUCUAAAAGAAAACCCCCAGGGCGGGCAGGCUGUAAACCUCCGCAGCUGCCCAGAGGAGGAGAGCACAGAAAGGGAACUGGGACCAUGCCAUUUAAGCUGGGACGGAAGUCAGACACGUGGCUAGCAAGCGGCCACAUGGUGCCAAGGGAGGCUUUGGAGAAAGUGUAAGGAAGGCCGGAAUGUCAGAGGGAACCCCCAAAACCUGGCUUAAAAAAGAGAUAGGAGAAAGGAUAAACUUACGCUUGCUAAAUAAACAAAUUUACCAGAUUAAGUGGCUGCAAUAAAUGGGCUUCCCCACUAGGGACAGGGCUUCUGGGAGGAGACCAUAGUAUCUCAGUAAUUCCUUCUGCCUGUCUCUUCCCAGGACCCCACUGUCCUAGGAAUGGCCCUUAGGGAAAGUGAAUGACCCGCCUCCACCCCACCCCGAGCCACAGAUUCCAUUCUCUGGACCAGUAGUAGGUUCAAGUUCAAGUUAGUGCAAAGGACUGGGAAAUGACACUUGGGAAGGUGACGUUGGCCUGUAUAGUCACAGGACAAAAGGCAAGUCGUGAAUCAUUGCACAUUAUAGAGGGGGUGGGGGAUGGGGGAGUGGGAUGUGGCUCAACCGCUCACCUAGUACACAAAGCCAGAGGUUCAGUCCCCAGCACUGCAUGUGGGCGUGCCUGCCAUGCUAUUGCUCAGAAAACCGAAGGAUCAGUUCAAGGUCACCCUCACCUGGGUCGUGAGUUCUAAACCAGCCUGAGAUACAUGAAACCCUGUCCCAAAGCAAAACUAGAAUGCAUUGGCCGUGCCUUCAGGUAGACAAACCAUAGCAGCUGAAGGAAAUGCUGAGCUGAACUCACAGAAAUCCACCUGCCUCUGAGUGCCCGGAUUAAAGUCCCGGGCAACCAUGACUGGUUCCCUGGUUUUGAGACAUAAUCCAGACUAGCCUUACACGCUCCGUGUGACCAAAGAUGCUGUAGAAUUUCUGAUCCUCCUGCCUCCACCUUCCAAGAUGAGAUUGCAGGUGUGUGUGUCGAUUCCUGCUUUAUAAAGUGCCAGGCCGAAGCAUUGGCUUCCUGAAGGCUGCAGGCAAGCACAGCUCCCUGCUUUCAAAAACCUAUCGAAUCAAAGUCUUAGCUUAAGGGUUGAUGGAAGCUGCAUCCUUGUGUGUCAAGAAUGUCUUCUAAAAGUCAAGAGGAUGUCAGGUCAUACAAGAGGUGGAUCGAAAAUGGUUACUACGGGAGACUGAAGACAACUGGGAUGAUGCACUCGUGACCUACACCCUUCAUCUCUCUGGAAGUGUCAUGUUCUACACAGCCAAGGUCAAGAGAGCUGCAGAUCCUCAAAGACAAAUGUAGCCUCUUCAGAGAACAUCAGUUCCAUUUACACAGCACAGAGGGUGAUCGUGCCAGAGAGGAUGGCCCGGCUGUGUGUGUAUGCAUGUGUCUCUGUGUGUGCAUGUGUCUGUGUGUGUCUGUG